rnacentral:rRNA from 1 species
CAGUCGCCGCGGUAAUACGGAGGGGGCUAGCGUUGUUCGGAAUUACUGGGCGUAAAGCGUACGUAGGCGGCUUUGUAAGUUAGAGAUGAAAGCCUGGUGCUCAACACCAGAACUGCCUUUAAGACUGCAUCGCUUGAACGUCGGAGAGGUGAGUGGAAUUCCGAGUGUAGAGGUGAAAUUCGUAGAUAUUCGGAAGAACACCAGUGGCGAAGGCGGCUCACUGGACGCGUAUUGACGCUGAGGUGCGAAAGCGUGGGGAGUAAACAGGAUUAGAUACCCCAGUAGUCCAUGUCUCUUAUAA